AACGAGGUGGAGCAGUUAGGAGUGCUCGCCGGGCUCAUAACCCGGAGGUCAGUGGUUCAAAUCCACUCCUCGUUA
rnacentral:tRNA from 1 species